rnacentral:rRNA from 1 species
UUUUAAAGUCUGCUACCCUGAACAAACCCGAUCCCGUCUGAUCUCAGAAUCUAAGCAGGGUCAGGCCUGGUUACUACUUGGAUGGGAGACCACCUAGGAAGACCAGGUGCUAUAGGCA